rnacentral:rRNA from 1 species
ACGAACGCUGGCGGCGUGCUUCACACAUGCAAGUCGAACGGAAAGGCCCCCACCUUGGUGGGGGUGCUCGAGUGGCGAACGGGUGAGUAACACGUGGGUGAUCUGCCCUGUACUUCGGGAUAAGCUUGGGAAACUGGGUCUAAUACCGGAUAGGACCAUGGUUUAGUGUCUCAUGGUGGAAAAAUUAUUGUUUUGGUGCAGGAUGAGCUCGCGGCCUAUCAGCUUGUUGGUGGGGUAAUGGCCUACCAAGGCGUCGACGGGUAGCCGGCCUGAGAGGGUGGACGGCCACAUUGGGACUGAGAUACGGCCCAGACUCCUACGGGAGGCAGCAGUGGGGAAUAUUGCACAAUGGGCGCAAGCCUGAUGCAGCGACGCCGCGUGGGGGAUGACGGCCUUCGGGUUGUAAACUCCUUUCGUUAGGGACGAAGCCACACCUUUUUUGGGUGUGGUGACGGUACCUUUGUUAAGAAGCACCGGCUAACUACGUG